GAUUCUGAAUCAUCGCGCUCGGAAGCCGAAGCACUGCGUCGCCGGACGGGAUCAUGGCGAAGGAGGAAGACAAGGGUGAGAUGAAGGUCCCCGAGGAGAUGUUCAAGGAUGUCAAGUUCUUCGUGGUGGGAGACAUCGAUUCCAAGGUUAUUCAACUUCUGAAAGAUGGGAAAGCAAAGGAAGUUUCCUAUAAUGCUCUAGCUUCACACAUCAUUUCAGAAGAUGGGGAUAAUCCAGAAGUUGGUGAAUCUCGUGAAGUGUUUGAUCUUCCAGUAGUAAAACCUUCCUGGGUGACUUUGUCUGUUCAGUGUGGAGCUCUUCUGCCAGUAAAUGGCUUUUCCCCAGAAUCCUGUCAGAUCUUUUUUGGAGUUGCCGCUUGUCUGUCUCAGGUUUCCUCUGAAGACCGGAAUAUAUUGUGGGCUUUGAUUACAUUUUAUGGUGGGGAUUGCCGUUUGAGCCUCAAUAAAAAAUGUACUCAUUUGAUUGUGCCUGAGCCAAAAGGGGAAAAAUACGAAUGUGCUAGUAAACGAGAGAACAUUAAAAUCGUGACACCUGACUGGAUUCUAGAUUCUAUAUCUGAUAAAACCAAAAAAGAUGAGGUUCCCUAUCACCCCCGUUUAAUAAUAUAUGAGGAAGAAGAGGAGGAGGAGGAGGAGGAAGAAAAUGAAGAACAGGAUUCCCAAAAUGAAGGGAGUACUGAUGAAAAGUUAUCAAGUCCACUAUCUUCUCAAGAAGGAUCUCCUUUGGGCAAUCGAACUUUUUCUCCUAAGUCUAUUGAUGCUGACAAAAACAAAGGAGAACUUAUGUUUGACGACUCAUCAGAUUCCUCUCCUGAAAAGCAUGAAAGAAAUUUGAACUGGACCACAGCUGAAGUUCCACAGACUGUUGCCAGAAAACACACAUUGACUCCAGGCAAGGAUUCUGGAUUGAUUAAUUUGUGUGCCAAUGUCCCACCUGUCCCAGGCAAUAUUUUGUCCCCUGAUAUCAGAAGUAAUAUAAUGGCUUCAGUACAAACACCGCAAAGUUCUGGACAUCCUGAAAUGAUGGCAGCAUGGAGUCCUGCAGUCCGGACACUAAGAAAUAUUACCAAUAAUGCUGAUAUUCAGCAGGUUAAUAGGCAAUCAAAUGUAGCACAUAUCUUGCAGUCACUUUCAGCACCCACAAAAACUUUGGAGCCACAGGUAAGCCACAGUCAGCAGGGGCAUCCCAAUGCAGUCUUGCUUAGCCAGGUCAAACUGGCCCCAGAGACACGCUUAGUGCAGCCGCCUCCGGCUCAGCAUCACCAGCCUCAGCAGCAGCAGCAGCAGCAUCACCAUCUCUUGCAUCUCCAAGCCCAGCAGCUCCUGCAGUUGCAGCAACAGUCCCAGCCGCCACAGGCUCAGAUUCCCCAACCACCUUUCCCACAGCAGCCGCAUCAGUUUGCACAACAGCAGCAAGUCCAUCAGCACCAGUUUCCGCAGCAGCAGCAGCAGCAGCUGCCCUUCCCUUCCCAACUGAUACACUCCCAGCAACAAAUGCAUCGCCCCCCACAGCCCAUGCCGUUUCAGCAGCAGCAAUUGCAUCGGUUGCAACAGCAUCACCUGCAGCGGCAGCAGCAAAUGCAGCUUCAGCAACAAAACCUUCAGCAGUUACAGCAUCAGCACCAGCAGCAGCAACAACUCCAGCAGCAACAACUCCAACAGCAGCACUUACAACAAAUGCAGCAGCAGCAGCAGCAGCAGCAGCAGCAGCAACAACAACAACAACAACAACAAAUGCAAAAUCAGGCAUCACAACACUUGACUCCAACAUCUCAGACGCUACACCAUCAAGUUCCAAUUCAGGCACCACAGAAUCUCCAGCAGCAACAACUGCAGCAGCAUCAACUGUUUGGACAUGACCCAUCUACAGAAGUUCCUGAAGAUUUUUUUUUACUGGGUUGUAUCUUUGCAAUUGCUGAUUACCCUGAACAGAUGUCUGAUAAACAACUGUUGGCAACUUGGAAAAGGGUAAUCCAGUCUCAUGGUGGUACAGUUGAUCCUACACUUACAAACCGAUGUACACAUCUUCUUUGUGAAAGUCAGCUUAGUAAUAUGUAUGCACAGGCUUUGAAAGAAAGGAAAAGAUGUAUCACUGCCCACUGGUUGAGUUCUGCGCUAAAAAAGAAGAAAAUGGUACCACCCCAUCGAGCUCUUCAUUUUCCCGUAGCAUUUCCACCCGGAGGAAAACCAUGUUCUCAGCAUAUAAUUGCUGUAACAGGUUUUGUGGAUGGUGACAGAAUCGAUCUCAAGUUGAUGGCCUACCUAGCAGGAGCAAAAUACACAGGCUAUCUUUGUCGCAGUAAUACCAUUCUUAUCUGUAAAGCGCCAACUGGCGUAAAGUAUGAAAAGGCUAAAGAGUGGAGGAUACCUUGUGUUAAUGUACAAUGGCUCUGUGAUAUUUUACUUGGAAAUUUUGAAGCUUUGCGGCAAAUGCAACACAAUCGAUACACAGUUUUCAAUCUUCAAGAACCCUUUGCUCCUAAUCAGCAUCUAGUUCAAAAUCUUCUUGAUGCUUGGAGGGUGCCUUUAAAAGUGUCGCCUGAAUUUCAAAUGAACAUGAGAUUACCACUUAAACCAAAGCAGAAUGAACCAGUAAUUCAACCUUCAAUCAAGAGGCCAAGAGUUGAAGACUUUCCAACACCUAUAAAAAAACUCCCACCAGAAUUGACACCAAUGGUUCUUUUUACAGGAUUUGAGCCUGCCCAAGUGCAUCAGUACAUAAAGAAAGUCUAUAUGCUUGGAGGUAACAUAGCAGAGUCUGCUCAGAAGUGUACUCAUGUGAUAGCUAGUAAAGUAACCCGCACUGUAAAAUUCCUGACAGCAGUUUCAGUUGCAAAACAUAUUGUAAUUCCGGAAUGGUUGGAAGAAUGUUUCAAGAGUCAGAAAUUUAUAGAAGAACAAAGCUACAUGCUCCGAGAUGCAGAGGCUGAAGUCCUUUUCUCUUUCAGUUUGGAAGAAUCUCUAAAGAGAGCGCAAGCAACACCACUCUUUAAGGGGAAAUAUUUCUAUAUUACUCCUGGAAUUUCUCCUAGCCUACAUGUUAUGAAAUCAAUUGUGGAAUCUGCAAGUGGGAAGUUAUUAUCUAAACAACCUUCUUUCAGAACAGUUAUGGAACAUAAACAAAAUAAGAGCUUGUCAGAGAUUAUCCUUAUCGCUUGUGAAAAUGAUCUACACUUAUGUCGAGAAUACUUUACCAGAAACAUAGGGCAGCAAGAACAGAUAGGAUUGGCAGCCUGCAUAACAAUUGACCAUUGGGAUGAUUUUUAAAAUAUUGCUGAAAAAAAAUCCUGAUACAAAAAUAAUAUUACAGUAUAUGCUGACAGUAUUUGCAUUUCAGUCUUACUUUGGCAAAUUCCUUCUGGCCAGAUAAUGUACAGAUGUCCACAGUGCAGAAUUUGUUCUGACUGGAGUCCUUACUCAAACACUGGAUUAUGAUUCAUAUAAAUUUACUUGACUCUAAGUAAAAUGCCUUAUUUUGCUUCAAAUUCCUUGAAGCCUUCCCCUGAGCUUUUCCAGCCUGUGGAUUAUUUAAUCAGGACUUCAUUGAAUUCUUGUUUUCUCUUGUUUUGCUGAAGAGCGAAGAACAGUUGAAGCAGGAAAGGGAAAUUUUACUGCAUCUGUUUAGGAUGUGUCACCUUUUAUUAUUAAGCUAACCAUUUUUAUACUAUACUGUAGACCAGAGAGAUUACUUUUUAUAUUGUAAAAUAGUUUCCUGGUUUUAAGUUUUAAUAAUCGGCAAUAUCCAACCAAAAUCUUAAUUAAAAUUUAAAGGAAGAAGGGCUUAUGGCAUGUUUAAAUUAAGGAAGCAAAUAUUUUGUACUUUAUUUUAUUAUGCUGUUUUAUUAAUACUAUCCCAUGUUUUAAAUAAACAUAGUUUUAAAUGAUGUUUCCUUAAAAUUUAGUGGUUUUUAUUUUUUAAA